ACAUUGAUGGAGAAUUCAGGCA
rnacentral:siRNA from 1 species